AGUUAAUUACCCUUGUCUAUUCUGUAUCCUAACAAUAGGAAGGAAAAGAAACAUCUAGCAUCCAUGGGAAUAAACCUAUUCAAGAGUCAAAUUGACCACAAACGAGUUGCUUUUUCUGAUUAAAUUGUUGCUGUAAAUAGAGCAAUAUGCAAACGACAACAAUUUUGUAAGCAAUGGAUAACACCACUCUAGGCAAACAAAUACCUAACUGAAGUUCAAAAUUUUUGAAAAUAGAGAAGAAUAUAGCACAACUAUAGGAAUUGCUGAUAAUUAUUGAGCUAUCAGAUACAAAAAUUUAAUAGGCUUGGCUUUCCCAGGUAAAAACUGCGGCACCAUGCUAAUUUGCUAAGUACAUCUCACUCUAAUUAUUAAAUCCUGUGAUGUGCCAAACAAAUUGUUGUUUCAGAACUUGUCUUCGACUCAACCAUCCCACAAUUUUGAAGGAAACACAUGACCAGUUCAGACUAUUUGUGAUAUUCAUCAGUCUACAAAUGGGGCCCACACAAUAAUCCUGCAAAUGAAAUAUGCCAAAACUAGAAAACUAUUAACUCAAAAUAAUUUCCACAUCAGGAUUAACAUUGGCAACUCAUUGAACAUUAAGCUGAUUCUACCGAGCAAGAACUCUGGAAACAGCAAAUGACAUGAAAAAUCAACAUCACAAAUAAAUGAAUGAAGCUUUAAUUUUUGAUACUUUUAAACAAUCCAAGGUAGGAGUAAGGAGGUUUAACAACUGGACAUGACAAUAAAGGACCAAGUUCCUUCCAUCUUAUAAGACAAAAUCUAACCACACAACCUUCCAUAAUAAAAGAACUAUGAUCAACUCAAUCCUCAUUAGAAACAACUGGGUCACUGAUAAAAUCAAAACAAAAUGAAACAAAAACCACUUGCUUCCUAGAAAAUAAAGGAAAAGAAACCAGCCCACAAAAUUAACAUGUUCCAUUUAAAAAAUUUAAAACCCAGAAUGAAGUCUCAAUUUUUCUUGAAGUAGAAGUCAUUAAGAACACAGAAGCUUCAGAAAGAGUAUAAAGCUUGCACAUUAAGAACAAUGCUGAGCUAAAAACUGAUCAUGCUUAAGAAAUUGCCCCAGGCACCCCAGCUACUAGAAUUUCAUGCAUUUUCUUGAUCUAAAACCAAAUAUAUAAUGAUGCAAAAAUUAUAUCAACAGUCUUUUGUAAAAGCAUCCUCAAUGAAAUUGAAAUAAAAUGUGAGUACCUGUCAAUUAUGCAUUUUGUUGGACUUGUCUAUGUAUUAGCAGCAUCCAAUCAACAUAUCCAUUUGUACCCCCAAUUGCAUCCUCCACCAGGUUUGUGAGGACAAGGAAGCCUUCUCUGGGCUGCUCACCUUGCCUUACAAGAUAGCUCAAUUGAUAAUAUGAAUGAUCACUCUCCCUUAAUUUCUUAAGCAUCUCCAUUAACUUCCUUGACAUUUCAGUAUCCCGUUCAAUGAGUGUAACCUAAUUAAUUUAGCAGAAUAGGAGGUCAACUACAGCCUCAUAAAAAGCAGCAAGGAAAGCUGGUCAACAACUGAGAAAAACAGUAAUAACAAAAUAUUCUAGAAAUAAUAACCUUGCAUAGGGAUCUCAAGUAAAAUAAUAAAAAUAAAAUCCUAACCAACCAAGAAAAUGAAAUAUAAUUGAAAUUUUGUUACAAGUAAAAGGCAGCUAUCAACAACAGUUAAAUCUUUUCUUUCCCUUUAUUUUCCUAAGAAAAAUACAGGCUGAUAAAUAAUUACAACGAAUGAUUUCAUCUCAGAAUUUUCUUUCAUUGCAACCAUCAGCAAGCAUGACAUAAACACCACCUUCAAUAUUUAGCUGAUAUCAUACAAAUGCACAUAACAAGACACUCCAUUCUAGCUCACUUUUGAAAGUUGACUCACUGGGACACAUGCAUUUCCAGACAUAAAUACCUAAAGAUUUAUUUAAAUUGAGGACGUGUUAUAAUAGUAUUUAAAUGUUGAAAAAUAACACCAAUGAUAGUGUCUUUACACAAGAUGAUGACUCAUCUAAAAAUGUAAUGCUUCAUUUGGAUAGAUAAAAGAAGUGAAAAGAAAAGGGAAAUACUGUAAUGCUUCAUUUGGAUCAAGUCUUAUCGUUUUGUAUGGAUGUUUAAUAGGAAUGAAAAUAAAGGUAAAGGAAAAUUAUGCAUAACCUCAAGACCCAUGCUGCUUUCUCUUAAAACUGGUGGAUAGACAGUAUUAGUUAUCCAUUUUAUGCUUUCCUUUAAAGCAUAAGUAUUAAAUAUCAUUUCAAUAUGGCAACUAAAACAAUUAACUUUUGUUUUCCUUUGUUUCUUAUCCAUGAAUUAAGACUAAAUUCCAUUACACGGACCCAAACUUCAAAACAUACUAAUUAAUUACGGAAAUGACACACCUUUGAUAACUCAGCCGCAGCAUCUGGACCAAGUAGGCUCAUAGCUAUAUCAGGUGAAAGCAUUCUACCAAACCAUAAUACAAAGUGAAAACCAUCAUCAAAUAUAUAAAGGCCUCUAGAAUCUAAGCUCUCCGUUGUCAAUGGUAACCUCCUUAUGAUGUUUUUGAGCUCAUCAGCUUUGACUAAAGGCUUUAAAAGAUAAUCGUCUACACGAAUCAAUGUAGGAUAUAAAAGUUUCAACAAUUUCUUAACAGGUAAUGCCAUCAUCGUAAAUCCCGCAGCACAACGUUCAUCAAGCUGAACAUCGGCAUGCCCUCCUAGGAGAGGUGUUGAUUUACAAAGUGCUAAUCCAUACAAAGUCAAGAACAUUAGAGACUCCGGAUAUAUCAUCCGACCUCCCAAGCGAUGCUGCACAGCAUAGAGAUUCCGGUAUUCUCUUAAAGCUUUCACAAUCCUAAGCUGUACAGAGUUUCGUGCAUCUUCCAACUUAUGGGAUAACGUUUUUUCAAUUGCUAACCUACAAAACAAAGAAACAAUAGCACCAGUGUCAGCUUGGCGAUACAUCUCCCCCAAAUCUGCAACCACUGGAGCUGCUGCUGUGUGUACCCUGAUACGCCUCUCUCCACAGGAUGCAGUGUAUAGUAAAGCAACUUGGAAGUAUACUGUCUGACUUGUCAACAAUGUCUCUUCCAGUGAUAACUGCAUCGCAUAUGCUUUAUCGCAAUCAACAGCUGGAAGCGCUAGUAAAUCUGUGGACCUUAGCAUGAAGUUCCCAUGAUAAGAUGUAAACCGAAUCCCUUUCCCGCAUCUUAUUCGCAUGACAGCUUCCCAGGCAGUUUCCCUUGUAAGAUCCCUAGCCAGCUCAUUCCUCAACUUCUCUCCAUGAUUAGCAGAUUGAAAACUUGGGUAAUAAUAAACCUGUCCUCCAGUAUAUUUAGCCAGAGUCCCUAUAGAAGCUAUAUCAGUGUACUUGUCACUGAAUGCAUAUACAUUAACUCCUAUCUGGUACUUGGUAAAAUCAGCUGCCAUUUGCUUAUAGAAUGGAUCCUCUGGUAUUCUUAAAGCAUGUUCUUUAUCCGUUCCAUAAACACCAAGAUCAUCCCCACGCAACCUUAAGCGGCCAACACCAAGAGAUGGCAUUGUAUUCUGAAAAAUCAACAAUUUUCCACCAAGUUGGUUCAUGACCGUGAAAGCUGCUUUUAAAGCUGGACCAAAGGCAGAUUCCACAUUCAUAUUGUCCUGAAACAUGGAUGGGAAACUAUCUAGAAAUGCUUCCACAACACUUCUUGACUCAGACAAAUUAACAAGGAUAUCAUCAGGCAAUGGAACAAAAACAUCAUCCAAAUCUGAAACCACCAUCAUCUGAGGCCGCAUCAAUAAUGACUUCAUGUUGUAAAAAUGUAUAGUGCUGUCAUAAGUAAUAAACCCAAUCUGCGUUCUGGGGAAGCCAGGCAAGUCAUCCAAACAAGACUUGAUAGUUUGGGCCACAACCUCAAUCAUGCCACUUCUAACAGCUGAUAUUGAAACAUCAAUGAGAAAGAAAUAUAAUGGUGGCAUUGGAGGCCGCACCAUAUACUCAGUUGAAGCAACAAACUCCACACUACCCUUUGUAAGCUCAGGUCGCUGAUCCAAAUCAACUCUUCUGCCAGUGGCAUCCAAAUGUGCAAAAUACUCACCAGGAACUAAAAAUGAUAAUUAAAUUUGGUUCUGCAAUUGUGCUUGUAACUAAAUAAAGAUACUAGAAAUGUAAAAAACAUACUAAGGACACCAAACUUUGAAAAGAAACAGUAUCGUGCCCAAACAGUAUUAAAGAAAAUCUACAACAAAAGAUAAACCAAAUAAAACACAGCUAAGUAACCAAUGAAGUAGCUGACCAAAUAAGAAGACAUAAUUGACUGUGGUUACUUUUUACCAGUCCCAAAUGUACUACAGCCAGUCUCUAACACUUUGUGUGGAGCAAAAGAAGGGUUGAAAGGAGCCACUUUUCCCCAAUUUGAAGGCAGAAUUGUUUUAUGAUCUCGCAUUACACUUCCCAAUCAUUUUUCUCUCUCCAUUUUCCCUCUUCUUCCAAAAAGGAAAAUCACUCAUUAUUUUCUUUCCUCUCUCUCUCUCUCUCCUCUAUUCUUCUUCUGUAUUCUUCUCCCCUUUCACCUAUCGUUUUCCUCUCACCAGCAGACUUGGAGAACGCCAUUUUUUGUCUUCUCUCCUACUUAUUUUCCUUUUUUUUUCUUUUUAUUUUUUUCUUAUCUUUUCUAUGCUUUCUUCUCUUACAAACAAUUACGCCAUUUUUAUCAAGCAGUAGCACUUUUUUUUUUUUUUUUUUU
rnacentral:misc_RNA from 1 species